rnacentral:rRNA from 1 species
GAUGAACGCUAGCGGCGUGCCUAAUACAUGCAAGUAGAGCGAAGCGGAGACGGGUGAGUAACCCGUGGAUAACCUCCUAUAAGACUGGGAUAACUUCGGGAAACCGGAGCUAAACCGGAUACGUAUAGAUGGAUCCGCGCUGCAUUAGCUAGUUGGUAAGUUAACGGCUUACCAAGGCAACGAUGCAUAGCCGACCUGGGAGGGGGAUCUGCCACCCUUGAACUGAGACAGGUUCCGUACUCCUACGGUAGGCAGCAGUAGGGAAUCUUCCGCAAUGGGCGAAAGCCUGACGGAGCAACGCCGCGUGAGUGAUGAAGGUCUUCGGAUCGUAAUACUCGGUUAUUAGGGAAGCGGUACCUAGUCAAAAAGCCACGGCUAACUACGUGCCAGCCGCCGCGGUAAUAC